GUGGGGAAUAUUGGACAAUGGGCGAAAGCCUGAUCCAGCCAUGCCGCGUGUGUGAAGAAGGUCUUCGGAUUGUAAAGCACUUUAAGUUGGGAGGAAGGGCAGUAAGUUAAUACCUUGCUGUUUUGACGUUACCGACAGAAUAAGCACCGGCUAACUUCGUGCCAGCAGCCGCGGUAAUACGAAGGGUGCAAGCGUUAAUCGGAAUUACUGGGCGUAAAGCGCGCGUAGGUGGUUUUGUAAGUUGGAGGUGAAAUCCCCGGGCUCAACCUGGGAACUGCCUCCAAAACUGCAUGACUAGAGUACGGUAGAGGGUAGUGGAAUUUCCUGUGUAGCGGUGAAAUGCGUAGAGAUCUGGAGGAAUACCGAUGGCGAAGGCAGCCAUCUGGCCUAAUACUGACACUGAGGUGCGAAAGCAUGGGGAGCAAACAGGAUUAGAAACCCGAGUAGUCC
rnacentral:rRNA from 1 species